rnacentral:rRNA from 1 species
ACGGGAGGCAGCAGUGGGGAAUAUUGGGCAAUGGGCGCAAGCCUGACCCAGCAACGCCGUGUGAAGGAAGAAGGUCUUCGGAUUGUAAACUUUUGUCUUAUGGGACGAUAAUGACGGUACCAUAGGAGGAAGUCACGACUAACUACGUGCCAGCAGUCGCGGUAAUACGUAGGUGACAAGCGUUAUCCGGAAUUAUUGGGUGUAAAGGGUGCGUAGGCGGGCUGUAAAGUCAGAUGUGAAAUACCGGGGCUCAACUCCGGAGCUGCAUUUGAAACUACGGUCUUGAGUGAAGUAGAGGUAAGCGGAAUUCCCAGUGUAGCGGUGAAAUGCGUAGAUAUUGGGAGGAACACCAGUGGCGAAGGCGGCUUACUGGGCUUUUACUGACGCUGAGGCACGAAAGUGUGGGGAGCAAACAGGAUUAGAUACCCUGGUA